GCCAUAACUCAGUGGUUAAGAGCAUCUGGCUUUGCAUGCAAAAGGUCCCAGGUUCUAUUCCCAGUGGGGGCU